UCUAGGUUAAAGAAGACUCUCGAAUAAAGAAAAAUGGAAUUUAUCUUUUCUAGUAAAUAAAAAUGAAGAAAAAAGAAGGAACUUCCGAAUAAAAAAAGCUAAAAUUACAGUGAAAGAAUCUUCGAAAGCGAGGUAAAAAGGGACGAACUCGAAACACGUUUUGUGGCGGCACACACGCAGAUUUAAAUGCUGCUGGCUAAUUUUCACCCUCAAAAUACAGAAAACAAUCUACAAAAAAAAAGGAAUGAAAUUCAAUCCUGCAAGAAUGAAUUCCACAGUUUACGCUAAAAAAAAUUUGUAUUUUACAGACUUGAACGUUUUGAAAUUUUUUUUUAUACGAAACGUGUUAUAAAGGAAGUAUCCUUUUUAUUUGAA